rnacentral:tRNA from 1 species
AUUUAAAUAGCUUAUUGAAAAGAGCGUAAUAUUGAAGAUAUUAAGGAAACAUGAAUUGUUUUUAAA